rnacentral:rRNA from 1 species
UGAAGAAAUUUUAAUGGCCGCAGUACCCUGACUGUGCUAAGGUAGCAUAAUCAGUUGGCUUUUAAUUGGAGUCUAGUAUGAAAGGAUUUGUCGGGGGGUUUCUGUCUCUCUAGAUUUUUUUUUAACUUUCUUAAAAGGUGCAAAAUCCUUUAGUAUUAGAAAAAAGACGAGAAGACCCUAAGAGUUUUAAUAAUAAUCUAUAGUUAUGGACUUAUUUUUUGCUGGGGCGGCAAGGAGACAAUUUUUUAACUCUCCUGAUAAAACUUGUGAAGACGUUUGUAAAAAGUGCUUUUAAACUACCUUAGGGAUAACAGCAUUAUUAAUUUAUUAGAUUGUGACCUCGAUGUUGGACUAGGAAUAUCUUUUGGCCAGCAGCCAAAAGUCUGGUUCUGUUCGAACCCU